rnacentral:tRNA from 1 species
GGAGAGAUGGCUGAGUGGACGAAGGCACCCGCUUGGAGUGCGGGCGUGCGAGCAAUCGCACCGUGGGUUCGAAUCCCACUCUCUCCG